AAAAUAUUAUUUUAGUUAAGAAAAGCUAACCACAGUUAAAUUAAUGUGUUAAAACUAAAUCCAACAGGCUUUUUCUUUGAUUAAGAAAAGAAGAAAAAAACACACCUUAAAUCAUUGUGAACAAAUAUUGUUCUUUAGGUAUUUUUUUAGCAAUUUCGAAAGGGCCAAACUAAAUAGACUAUGCAAUGAAUAUGUGCCACAGUUUUUGUUACCUAUUUUUGUUUUGAUUAUUAUCUGGAGUGUUCUGAAUUCAAUCAGUUUUGUAAGUUAGAAGUCCUUAGAUUUGAAAAGAAAACAACAUCUCAUUCUGUGACACCAUCAUAACAAAAGAUCUAAGCAAAGAUAGCCGUUAAUAUUCUCUGUAUGAGAUUGAGAUUAGUAUGAAAAUACUUUAUUUCUGUUUCAUAAACACUCAUUUUACAUUUGUUUGACAUAAUGAUCAUUUUUUAGAGCAAAAGUUUAAAGAUUGAAGUGAAGAUCAACAAAUUAAUCAUCCCAAUGAGC
rnacentral:lncRNA from 1 species